UGCGGGAAUAGCUCAGCUGGUAGAGCAUCACGUUGCCAACGUGAAUGUCGCGAGUUCAAAUCUCGUUUCCCGCUCC
rnacentral:tRNA from 1 species